GUAGGUGGCAAGCGUUGUCCGGAAUUAUUGGGCGUAAAGCGCGCGCAGGCGGUUCUUUAAGUCUGAUGUGAAAGCCCACGGCUCAACCGUGGAGGGUCAUUGGAAACUGGAGAACUUGAGUACAGAAGAGGAAAGCGGAAUUCCACGUGUAGCGGUGAAAUGCGUAGAGAUGUGGAGGAACACCAGUGGCGAAGGCGGCUUUCUGGUCUGUAACUGACGCUGAGGCGCGAAAGCGUGGGGAGCAAACAGGAUUAGAUACCCUGGUAGUCCACGCCGUGAACGAUGAGUGCUAAGUGUUAGGGGGUUUUCCGCCCCCUUAGUGCUGCAGCUAACGCAUUAAGCACUCCCGCCUGGGAGUACGGCCGCAAGGCUG
rnacentral:rRNA from 1 species